AGUGCACCAAUUUGUAAGUCGCUCUGGAUAAGAGCGGCUGCUUAAAUGACGUAAA
rfam:Salmo salar isolate Sally breed double haploid chromosome ssa11, whole genome shotgun sequence.